rnacentral:tRNA from 1 species
GGCCGUGUGGCUCAAUGGCAGAGCGUCUGACUACGAAUCAGAAGGUUGCAGGUUCGACCCCUGUCUCGGUCA